rnacentral:rRNA from 1 species
GAUGAACGCUGGCGGCGUGCCUAAUACAUGCAAGUCGAGCGAACAGACGAGGAGCUUGCUCCUCUGAUGUUAGCGGCGGACGGGUGAGUAACACGUGGAUAACCUACCUAUAAGACUGGGAUAACUUCGGGAAACCGGAGCUAAUACCGGAUAAUAUGUUGAACCGCAUGGUUCAACAGUGAAAGACGGUUUUGCUGUCACUUAUAGAUGGAUCCGCGCCGCAUUAGCUAGUUGGUAAGGUAACGGCUUACCAAGGCAACGAUGCGUAGCCGACCUGAGAGGGUGAUCGGCCACACUGGAACUGAGACACGGUCCAGACUCCUACGGGAGGCAGCAGUAGGGAAUCUUCCGCAAUGGGCGAAAGCCUGACGGAGCAACGCCGCGUGAGUGAAGAAGGUCUUCGGAUCGUGAAACUCUGUUAUUAGGGAAGAACAAAUGUGUAAGUAACUAUGCACGUCUUGACGGUACCUAAUCAGAAAGCCACGGCUAACUACGUG